rnacentral:rRNA from 1 species
UGGGGAAUAUUGGACAAUGGGCGAAAGCCUGAACCAGCAACGCCGCGUGGGUGAUGAAGGCCUUCGGGUUGUAAAGCCCUGUCGGGAGGGACGAAACAGCAGCGUAAUGAACUGCUUUGACGGUACCUUCAAAGGAAGCACCGGCUAACUCUGUGCCAGCAGCCGCGGUAAUACAGAGGGUGCAAGCGUUGUUCGGAAUUACUGGGCGUAAAGCGCGUGUAGGCGGUUGUUCAAGUCUUGUGUGAAAGCCCUGGGCUCAACCCAGGAAGUGCGCAAGAUACUGGAUAGCUGGAGUGUCGGAGAGGAGGGCGGAAUACCCGGUGUAGAGGUGAAAUUCGUAGAUAUCGAGUGGAACACCUGUGGCGAAGGCGGCCCUCUGGACGAUAACUGACGCUGAGACGCGAAAGCAUGGGGAGCAAACAGGAUUAGAUACCCCCGUAGUCCCUGAGCGGGCUGGCAAGGCGCAU